rnacentral:rRNA from 1 species
UACGUAGGGUGCGAGCGUUGUCCGGAAUUAUUGGGCGUAAAGAGCUCGUAGGCGGCUUGUCACGUCGGGUGUGAAAGCUCGGGGCUUAACCCCGAGUCUGCAUUCGAUACGGGCAGGCUAGAGUGUGGUAGGGGAGAUCGGAAUUCCUGGUGUAGCGGUGAAAUGCGCAGAUAUCAGGAGGAACACCGGUGGCGAAGGCAGAUCUCUGGGCCGUAACUGACGCUGAGGAGCGAAAGCGUGGGGAGCGAACAGG